rnacentral:siRNA from 1 species
AAGGCGCGUACACAUAGAGGCGCA